rnacentral:rRNA from 1 species
UGCCUACGGGACGCAGCAGUGAGGAAUAUUGGCCAAUGGGCGCAAGCCUGAACGAGCAAUGCCGCGUGAACGAGGAAGGUCUUCGGAUCGUAAAGUUCUGUUGAAGGGGAAAAAGAGCGGAGAGAGGAAAUGAACUCCGAUUGAUAUUACCCUUCGAGGAAGUCACGGCUAACUACGUGCCAGCAGCCGCGGUAAUACGUAGGUGGCGAGCGUUAUCCGGAAUGAUUGGGCGUAAAGGGUGCGUAGGCGGCCUGCUAAGUCUGGAGUGAAAGGUACCGGCUCAACCGGUACAGGCCCUGGAAACG